rnacentral:rRNA from 1 species
AUGGCUCCUAAGGCAACCAAGGCCCCUGUGACCUGCAAUUGGGUCCCAUCCAUAGUCACUAAGAGUAAACUGGCUGAGUUUGUAAAGUCUGGCCAUCUGCCAAAAAAGGAGGUCAUUUCUUAUCGUGCCCCUGACCCGUCUAAAGAAAGGCCUCAACCCAAAGAAGGGGAGGUAAUAAUUUUCACGGAUCACAUGAACCGGGGAUUUGCCCCUCUCGGCUCAAAACUCUUCAGGGAGGUUUUGAAUUUCUUUGAUCUUAGACCUCAAGACAUUGGACCCAAUUCCGUGUCAAAUAUUUGCAAUUUUCAAGUCUUCUGCGAGGUGUACCUGGGAGAGGAGCCAAGUCUGUUAUUGUUCAGAGAGCUUUUCUAUUUGAACCGGCAGAAUGAACGUGCCAACAGGCCUAGUCUUGAGCUUGGCGGCAUUUCAAUUCAGCGGCGGAGAGAUUGCCUUUUUCCUUACGCUGAACUGCCGAGUCAUCCAAAAGAUUGGAACCAAACAUGGUUCUAUUGCCAGGAAACUUCACCGGCUGAUGAGAGCCCUCUGCCCGGCUUCCGCGCCCUACGCCUUGAGUCCCAUCAUCCGUUGGCGGAUAAAUUAACUGCUAUCGAGCGUCUGCCUCUCAGUCCCACCAUCAAGAAGAUCAAAGCGCUUUUGGGAAACGGUUUAAACGGCAUCGAUCUUGUCCGAGUCUGGGUCACUUGGCGAAUACUUCCAUUAAGCCGCCGUUCUGGCUUAAUGUGUACUUACACAGGCAAGAAGGAUGAUCCACUGCGUCAUAGCCCUGACGACUUACCAGAUGAUGUGGUAGAUGCUACAACCCAGUCACUGCUGAAAGAGGGCACUGUAACCAGUAAUGCCUUCGGCUUACUACCCUUAUGCAAGAAGAACCCGGCCCCUGCAGCCAAUGACAACUUCUGA